rnacentral:hammerhead_ribozyme from 1 species
GCCCAGCUGAUGAGUCCUAAAUAGGAUGAAACGCAUGUCCUGGAU